rnacentral:rRNA from 1 species
GCAAGUCGAACGGCAGCGCGGGGCAACCUGGCGGCGAGUGGCGAACGGGUGAGUAAUAUAUCGGAACGUACCCAAGAGUGGGGGAUAACGUAGCGAAAGUUACGCUAAUACCGCAUACGAUCUAUGGAUGAAAGCAGGGGACCGCAAGGCCUUGUGCUCCUGGAGCGGCCGAUAUCUGAUUAGCUAGUUGGUGAGGUAAAGGCUCACCAAGGCGACGAUCAGUAGCUGGUCUGAGAGGACGACCAGCCACACUGGAACUGAGACACGGUCCAGACUCCUACGGGAGGCAGCAGUGGGGAAUUUUGGACAAUGGGCGCAAGCCUGAUCCAGCAAUGCCGCGUGAGUGAAGAAGGCCUUCGGGUUGUAAAGCUCUUUUGUCAGGGAAGAAACGGUGGGGGCUAAUAUCCUCCGCUAAUGACGGUACCUGAAGAAUAAGCACCGGCUAACUACGUGCCAGCAGCCGCGGUAAUACGUAGGGUGCAAGCGUUAAUCGGAAUUACUGGGCGUAAAGCGUGCGCAGGCGGUUUUGUAAGUCUGUCGUGAAAGCCCCGGGCUCAACCUGGGAAUUGCGAUGGAGACUGCAAGGCUUGAAUCUGGCAGAGGGGGGUAGAAUUCCACGUGUAGCAGUGAAAUGCGUAGAGAUGUGGAGGAACACCGAUGGCGAAGGCAGCCCCCUGGGUCAAGAUUGACGCUCAUGCACGAAAGCGUGGGGAGCAAACAGGAUUAGAUACCCUGGUAGUCCACGCCCUAAACGAUGUCUACUAGUUGUCGGGUUUUAAUUAACUUGGUAACGCAGCUAACGCGUGAAGUAGACCGCCUGGGGAGUACGGUCGCAAGAUUAAAACUCAAAGGAAUUGACGGGGACCCGCACAAGCGGUGGAUGAUGUGGAUUAAUUCGAUGCAACGCGAAAAACCUUACCUACCCUUGA